AUUGAACGCUGGCGGCAUGCUUUACACAUGCAAGUCGAACGGUAACAGGCCGCGAGGUGCUGUCGAGUGGCGGACGGGGGGGUAAUGCAACGGAACGGGCCCAGUCGCGGGGGGUAACUACUAGAAAGAGGAGCCAAUACCGCAUACGAUCUAAGGAGGAAAGCGGGGGAGCGUAAGGGCGCGCGGGAGUGGAGCGGGCGAUGUCAGAUUAGGUAGUUGGGGGGGUAAAGGCUCACCAAGCCAACGAUCUGUAGCUGGUCUGAGAGGACGACCAGCCACACUGGGACUGAGACACGGCCCAGACUCCUACGGGAGGCAGCAGUGGGGAAUUUUGGACAAUGGGCGCAAGCCUGAUCCAGCAAUGCCGCGUGCAGGAAGAAGGCCUUCGGGUUGUAAACUGCUUUUGUACGGAACGAAACGGCUCUGGUUAAUACCCGGGGCUAAUGACGGUACCGUAAGAAUAAGCACCGGCUAACUACGUG
rnacentral:rRNA from 1 species